UACGAAGGGGGCUAGCGUUGUUCGGAUUUACUGGGCGUAAAGCGCACGUAGGCGGAUUGUUAAGUCGGGGGUGAAAUCCUGGAGCUCAACUCCAGAACUGCCUUCGAUACUGGCGAUCUUGAGUACGGAAGAGGUGAGUGGAACUCCUAGUGUAGAGGUGGAAUUCGUAGAUAUUAGGAAGAACACCAGUGGCGAAGGCGGCUCACUGGUCCGGUACUGACGCUGAGGUGCGAAAGCGUGGGGAGCAAACAGG
rnacentral:rRNA from 1 species